rnacentral:rRNA from 1 species
UUUUCCGGUUUGAACUCAGAUCAUGUGCGGGUAAAAGGUCGAACAGACCUAUGGAGAACAAUUUCUACUCUGAUCACACACCGCAAUUCAACAUCGAGGUCGCAAACUAUUAUUUUAAUAAGAUCUUUAAUAACAAUAACGCUGUUAUCCCUAGAGUACCUAUUUCAUUUUAUUUUAUAAAGAUCUAUUUAAAUUAAUAAUACUAAUAUUAUUACUUACCCCAAAUAAAUUUUUUAAUAAGGGUGUAGACUAAAUUAAAAAUUAAGGUUCAUAGGGCCUUCUCGUCA